rnacentral:misc_RNA from 1 species
GGCAGUUGUUACAGUGUUGAGGGGCGUCUCUCAUGGCCGCUUACCACUACUCACUCACUCUCAGUUUCCGAUUGUUACACCAACAAACAUUGCUUAUCGGAAUCGUCCCAAUGUUUUGCGAGUUUUUGCUCGUUAUUCUCAGACACAGGAUCUAUUUACUUCUCGUCUUCAAGAUCGUCUAGAGAACUUGCCCAAACUUGUGGAGGAUAUUGUCCAAACAUCUCUAAGCACCGGUCCUCGUGGAGCCUUAAGGUUAGCUCAGGGUGUCCAAGCUGUAGUUGGAGUAGGCAGUGAGUGGCUGCAAGAUGUAUCUAAGACGGCAAACUCGUCCACUGGACUACCAACUCAGCUGCAGCUUGGGCUAUUAUCUCCCCUAUAUUUGAGGAAAUUGUUUGAACGCAUGGGUGCAACUUAUAUCAAAUUAGGUCAGUUUAUUGCAUCCGCACCCACGUUGUUUCCACCGGAGUAUGUUCAAGAAUUCCAGUACUGUUUUGACAGGGCUCCUGCAGUUCCUUUUGAACAGAUCCAAACAAUCUUGCGUGAGGAGCUAGGCAGACCAAUUGAUACCGUGUUUGAAUAUAUUGAUCCCACACCAGUUGCCUCUGCAUCAAUUGCUCAGGUGCACGGUGCAAGAAUAAGAGGCACAGGGGAGGAUGUAGUGAUAAAGGUUUUGAAACCUGGAAUAGAAGAUAUUUUGGUAGCAGAUCUGAACUUUAUUUACAUUGCAGCACGUAUCCUGGAGUUUUUGAGUCCUGAUCUAAGCCGUGCAUCUCUGGUUGCUAUUGUCAAAGACAUACGAGAAUCAAUGCUAGAAGAAGUUGACUUCAACAAGGAGGCUACAAAUGUUGAGUCGUUUAGGAAUUAUUUAGAAGCCAUGGGACUAACUAGGCAGGCCACUGCUCCAAAAGUCUACCGUCAAUAUAGUACUAAGCGUAUUCUGACUAUGGAGAGGCUAUAUGGAGUACCAUUGACAGACUUAGACUCUAUUAAGUCACUGGUUUCCAGUCCAGAAACCAGUCUUAUUACUGCCCUUAAUGUUUGGUUUGGAAGUCUGCUUGCCUGUGAAUCUUUCCAUGCCGAUGUACAUGCUGGCAAUUUGUGGCAACUACGUGAUGGGCGUAUUGGGUUCCUUGACUUCGGAAUUGUUGGUCGCAUAUCUCCAAAGACAUGGGCUGCUAUGGAAGUAUUUCUGCAAUCUAUUGCAAUUGAAGAUUAUGAGUCGAUGGCAUCUGCUCUAAUUGACAUGGGUGCUACAGGAAAGGAUGUGGACACGAAGGCUUUUGCGAGGGACUUGGAGAAAAUAUUUUUGUCGAUUCAGGAUCUAGAUACAGAAAUCAUUGUUGCGGCUGCCAGGGACACAAAUACAAAUGCUACUACUGUUGCUGCCAAUGUAGCAUUUGAUGAGAGACAAAUGAACGCACUAUUUCUGGACGUGGUUAGAGUUGGUGAAUCUUAUGGAUUGAAAUUUCCUCGUGAGUUUGCACUUCUGAUGAAGCAACUUCUCUAUUUUGACCGCUACACCAGAUUGUUAGCUCCAAACAUGAACAUGUAUCGAGAUCAGAGGAUCAACGUCGUCUCUAAGCAAAGACAACAAAGGAACAUAUACCAAUGAUGAUUGUACGUCACAUCAAGAGAUUGUUGCCCUUCCUGGGAUUUUCUAAUAUACUGUAAUCUGUAAGUUGUA